GUCGACGUAGUAGGCAUACGUUCUGAAACUGCAGAUUAUGAUAUUUUCACUGGUACAGUUGUGAAAAUUUACCGAGGCAAUGAGGCAGAUAUUCCGAUAGGAUCUAAUAUAACAUUUACAGCGCGCGUUUCAGAGUGCAUUCGUAAUCAGUUUAAAGGAGCGUAUAUUUUUUCUGGAGUUUUAGGAACAGUGCUUGCCGGUCAUUAUGAUAUAACUUUUUGUCAAAGCAUAAGAAUUCGGAAAGCAAUAACAUCGGCCACAAAACUGCAAUGGAUUGAACAUCUUUUGAAAAAGUUAAAAAGUAUUGGAUGUGAAGGAAAACACCACUGCUUGGCACUUCCGGAUAUACCUAAAAAUAAGGACGUGAAAAAUGCUUGCCUCUUUCCCGUCACUCCAGCCAACACAACUAACUGUUAUUUAGACUGGGGUGCUUGUCUGAGAACGAAUUGCAACGUCCCGUGUACAUGGUUCUAUGCAGAAGGUUCAAACUGUGCUGAGGGCGACCCUAAUCCUGAUGUGGUUCCAGCAAUCGAAGGCUAAGAAGAACAAUAAUAUUUAUUAUAUAAUGUUCUGAUAA